AGGGACAAGAAAAGAAACAUGGAAAUGUAAGUGUAUCACUUUUAUUUACCGUUGGAAAGAGAAAUUAAAAUAUUACACUUCUUGAAUCACUCCUGAAAGCAUAUCUGUGCCGAAUAAUCUUUUUAUUUAUCAAAUGGUUUUAAUUAUUUAUUUAGGGUAUUUAUUGUUUUACUUGUUGCCUCCUCUGUUUAGCCCAUAAACUGUAUGGUUCAGCCACUGUUUAUAAUCGCUCUUAGUACUUAAUACUCUUUUGUUUCCUAUUUAAGUUGUGUCAUCUGUUGUUAACAUGUCUUGCUAUUUGGUUUCCCCUUAUUAUUUCUAUAUAGUAAGCUUUUAUGUUUGUGAAGCACUAAACCUUAUUAUUACUAAUAUUAGUAGUUGUAGUAUUUUAAGGAAACUCACAACUUCUUUAAUGAAAUGUACUUAAGGUACUGAGUACGCCAUUUUGGCGUGGUGGUUGGACUAAAGUAAGAAACUACCAUAACCAUGAGCUCACUACAUAGUUAGCUAUAUAGUGAAACCCCAUAUGGGGGUUAGAGGUUAGGGAUUGAAUGAUUCAUUUCAGACAAAGCCAUUGUCUUAAGUUGUCAAUGGAAAAUCAAGCAUUUAUAGGUAACACAUGUAAAAUGGUAUCUUUGAGUGUACUUAAAUGGAGCUUUUUUUCAUUCAAUAUUUUUUGCUAAAUGUUUCUGGAAAAACUUUUUGCAACUAACAGGCUGUUGUUGGUGUGAAAAUGCUCGAAAAUUACUUGUAAAUUCACAUGAAAUGUAUUCUGGCAUUGAGGAACUCUACAGUAGUGUUCAGCCCACUCCAGCCAAAUGAGUUUUUGUAUAGGUUAUCAUCCAUUUUCAAAUGACCUUUUAUUUCUUCUUAAAAAUAAUCAGUUAAGGUUUUAAUUUAACUGAUAACAACAAAUGAAGAGCUUGAAUAUACCUGUAUUUUUUACCUUUUAACUAUAAUUUAAGUAAGAGGUGGUGUGAGCUGAUGAUCAGCCAGCAGCCACCCAGCCUACUCCUCCAGACUUCAAGCUUGAAAACUCCCAAUUCACAGAGCUGAGACGCAACAGCAAAUUGAGCUUGGGGAAUGUGGCUUUGGUUUUGUUUGCUCUGGCCUGGAGAUGAGCUUCGCUGCUCAUUGCUGCUUGCUAAAAACCAAAAAGCGAGGGGAAAGGAGGGAAGAGAAAAAAAAAAGAGACAGAGACAAACAAGCCUGUCUGCUGCUGCCUGAAUGCCACACUAAUGAAAUACGAUAAUAAUGGAAGAAGGAGGCCUGGGAGAUGAAACACUGGAAGAGGAAGAGAGAGGAAGUGGAAAUAGACAAGUGAGACAGGUUGACAGAGAAAGUAAUGAGAAGAAAAGAGUAGAUGUGCAAACACAGAGCAGAAGAGAAGAAUAUUUUUGUCUUUUUAGAUGAGGAUGAAGUGAAGUCAGAGACAAUAUUUUAGGGAUAACGAUAUUAACCCCUUUUUAUUCUUACAAAAUUUGACCUAGGGCAUACACUGAUUUGUGUUUUAAAAAAAGUACUAUUUUAAUCAUUUAAUUAAUCAUGGGGUCUAGCAGGACAUAUGUUUAUUUAAAUCUUUCUUACCUGGUAUAUUUCAGAUGUUUUAGAUUUCCAUGUGAAUUUAAUUUCAAUUUAUUAAGGAUAGCCCCUCGAGAUGCAGCAUCUCAUUUUUGAGGGAGUCCCUCUAUCUGAAAAGUCACAGAUUUUCUGUGAAGAUAUCGCUGAAAACACAACUCAAGCCAUCUGGUGUGAGGCUGAUUAACUGAAAAGAAGUGAGAUCAGAUGGAGUUUAAAGUUGCUUCGGUGGUAUUUUAGAAAUAAAGUAUAAAAAAAUACAGAACAUCAGAAACAUAACAAUUUAACAUAACCUAUAUAAAGUAAAAGUAGUCAAAUUGACAAAUAAAUUGACAGUUAACUUCUAAAAUCAGUUUUGUCUCGCUUUCAGAUUUAAGCUCUCAAUAAUCCCGGGCUAAAAAUGUUCUUUUAUGUUUUCCUGUUUCUCCUCUUCCCUGCCCAGUUUACAAGGUGUUGUCAGUGUGCAGGUGGCAUCCCACUCUUCAUAAAAAUGGGCAUCUGGCAAGAAAAAGGGGACGCUGCAAUAAAAGUCAACCAAACCUCUGACACUCACAGAGAUUAUUGCCUGACUGGUUAACCACUGAGUGCUGAUGUGUGCAGGACAUUCCACACAAUGUAAGUGAGCCACUUCUCACUGGUGUCACUGACAGCACACUUGACAGGACACCAAAUGUGUCUGUAAAGAUACAAAAAGUGGAUUAAUGCUCUACUGUACACCUUUUAUCUAAGGAAACACUACUUUUGCUUUCUCUUUCUUCAGUUGGGUUCUGUGAGAAUAGAAGUACAUGUGUGAUAGACAGAAGAAGGAUUAUAUCGAGAUUUUUGUCUCUUCUUUUCCCUGGAAAUUACAAAAGAAGAAAACAAGCAGAGACUGAGAGUAAGAGCCUUUGCAGUCAAUUGAAACCUCACUGAUCCCUUGUACGUGCAUACUGUUAAAGCCCGGCUAAUUUGUCAAAUAAAGACAUCAGUCAAAGGAUGAGUGGGUGGCAAAUAAAAAAGACAGACAUAGAGUACACACAGCUCGGACUCGGGACUAGAGACAAGUGUGCAGGUCACGGAGAGACUUGAAACGGAGCCCUGAGAUUUCCUCUGAUUUCCACCUCCUCCUUCUUUGGCCCUGUUGCUGCGUCUUGUAAAUCAUUCUAAAUUCACUGAAACAAGCCAGUUGGAUUAGCUUGGUUUAGAUCAUAAACAUUUGCAGCGUAGACCACCCAAGGAGAGAGCGGAGCCAAGGCCAGAGUGAGUGUGUGUGUGCGUGGACAUGAAUGUAUGUGUUAAGUCCCCCUUGGAGUUUAGAGGUGGGCACUACAGCACACACACACAUACACACUGAAAUGUGGUCUCGCAAAUACACAUGCUCACGCGCACACACAGGCAUACUUAUACUGUGGUUUGUGUUUGCGCCACUUCCAGGGCCAGUGCACUGUGGGGCCCUCAUCACUGCUGUGGAAACCGAAACACACUCAUUCACCCGGCCUCAGAGAUUAACACACACACACACACACACACACACACACACACACACACACACACACACACACACACACACACACGGAUACCUUACAUGAUUUCUUUUGGCUCAAAAAAAAAUUCAUAGGUGGAUUUCGACAUGAAAUGAGUUAAUCAUCCUGUAAUUUGAAUGUAUGUUUAUAUGUCACCAUUUUUGCAAUCAAAACUCUGAUUCGUUCAUCAUCAUCAUUGUCUCGCCAACCCAGCUGCAGAUGCAGAACAUUAAACAUCAUUAACCUACACAUCCAUGUUAUGAAGCAUCUUUUCCAGGGACCGUCACAAAUGCAUUACAUUUUUUCUUCCUGAAGUUCACCAGCUUGCGUCACUAGACUUUGUAAGUCAUUCUUUUCUUAAGUGGAAUUGAGUUGGAGUGAUUUCUCCCUUUUUUCUUUCCCCACAUGCAGAAGUGAUCUGAGAGCCAAGCUGGUGUCAGAACCAGGAAAUAUCUGGGCUGGGUUUUAGAGGAGCUGGAGAGAGAAAAAUUGGGCAACUCCCUCUACACAAAGCACUGACACUUUUUUUCUCUCCCGUUGGUCUGUCAGACUUUGUAUGGAGCUGUGUUUGUUGAUGUGUCUUUUGAUCCUGAUUAACUUCAGGGUGCUGAAGAAGAGGCUCUGUCCAAUCAUCAAACUUGAUGCCCUGGUUGUGGUACGGUGAAAUGAUUCCUUAACCUUGCAAGGCUGCUGGAUGGUGGGAUUUUGUGGGGAGUACCAUAGCAAUAUGAGGUCCAUUACUGUGAACCAUUUGAUCCCUUUAUGACCAAAGUGAGAGCUGUGUCCACAUCCUCUGCAUAAAGUUAGACAUGUUUUCAAUUCACGUUGGCCUCCACCAGGGUUACCACUUUUUAAAGAUUCUGCUCAUGAUUUUUAUGGACAGGAUUGAGUGGUGCAGCUCUGGGGGAAGAGGGUUUCCAGUUUGGGAGGCUCAGAAUUCCAUCUCUGCUCUUUUGCAGAUGAUGUGGUUUUGUUGGCUUCUUCAGGCUGGGACCUCCAGCAGGCAUUAGUGCGGUUUGCAGCUAAGUACAAAAGAGCUGGGAUGAGAGUCAGUACCUCCAACAGUGGACCGCUCUUUCUGGGUGGGGACAAGUGAGGGAGUUCAAGUAUCUUGGUCAUGAGUGAGGGUGAAAUGGAUUGACCAGCUGAUAAGUGCUGCCUCAGCAGUACUGUAUGCGUUGCACUGGACUGUCAUGGUGAAGAGAGAACUGAGCUAGAAGGCAAAGCUUUUGAUUUACCAGUGGAUAUGUUGAUAUGUGGAUCAAAUUAAUAUUGAGAAAUUAUCUUAACUUUUGGUCAUAUUAUUAAGUUAAAUAAUACAGUGAUUACGCCAGUGUGGUCUUAAACCAGGACAGAAAGGUAGGAUACAACUUUAAAGUGCAUAUUCCAUUAGACAAUCAAAAACACUUCAUGGUUCCAUCGAUUUGGGGUUUCAUUAAAAUUGAAGAAAACUAUAUAAAAUACCAGAUUGGUUAUCAACUAUCCUCACAUUUUUUAUUUUAUCUGUCCAUAUCAUUCAAGCCGGGGUAUUCUAUUUCAUGAGAAAUUAGAGAUUUUUGGAGAAAAGGACAUUAGCCUACUCAAAAGCAAUGUCAAGCGUAAUGUAGGGGGAUGAAUAUGGGUUGUCUUCUGACAAUGAGAGUUAUUUCGAACCAGUCACCAUGUCAGGUGCAACGGUCUUUCAGGGUUGCUAUUGCCUUAUUCAUGUAUUUUAGAAAAUGAGUAUAGCAAAAAGGACAAAUGUAUGAAAUGUACAACAUUAACAUCAGAAAAUAUGUUACUUAAAUUUAAGUUUAUAAGUGUGUGUGUGUGUGUGUGUGCGUCUGUGUGUGUCUGUGUGUGUCUGUGUGUCUCCUCCUUUGGUCACAUUCUGCCUUAAGUACUGUCCACUUACUGGGAGGUCCCUCAGCCACACAGAGCUAACAUUUAGAUCCCUCACUCACACACACACACACACACACACACACACACACACACACACACACACACACACACACACACACACACACACACACACACAUGCAAGUACUUUUUUUUACAUACCUGUGCUCAACAGAGUCAAUUUUGAAUGUCCGUGCUAUGGGGAAUUAUAUUCUUAAUAUUUUAUUUCCAAGAAUUUUUCAGAGAAGAUCCUUGAAGCUUUACUGAAAAUUGAUAUAAUCAUGUCUGCUCUGUGAAUUUCUUUUACAAUUUGAUGUAAUAAUAGACAAAAAAAAUCAUUUCCCCAAAUUAUCAGUUCGUGAAUAUUUUAGUUUAUUUAAUUUUGCAGAUUAAAAAUUUCUCAAAGCUCAUGUGAGGAGGUUUUGAUUAGUUAUUUAACAGAUUACAGUUAGUAGAAUAGCCCACUUUUGGCCUACAAAAGCAAAUCAGACCAUCAGCAUUAAGAUUGAUAAUUAUAUAUAGUAAUGUUUAAUGCCUAAAACCACUGCUGGUGAGUAGGUUGAGGACCAAACAAAUAUGGCACACCAAGGAAACAGUGUUAACAUUUUCAACAGUGAAUAUUCACAAGCAAUGGCACAUUUGACCAUUGAAAAUAAGCAGAAAGAGAUUAUUUUUUGCUAAAAAUACUUCCCAGGAUGAAAUCAGCAAAGUAAUAAGAAAUACAUAUUUGCCCAAAGGGAGUGAAAAAGUCAACGCAAGCUGAAAACUACCUGAAGGAUCUUAAGAUACUCAACUCUAACUAUUUAUUUGAACUGCUAGAAAUUGUUUUCGAACCACUUUAUUGAAUAAAAGGUGUAAAAAAGGCGGCACAUUUUGUUUUAGGUGGGUCAAUAAUCUCUCCUCCCUUUUAAAUUGUUUGAUCUGUUAGCAAUGACUCAGCAUUCACUAGCUCUUUUUAUGUAUAAACUUGUCCCUUUUUAUGGGUAGCACACCUCAAAUAUUUGGUCAUGUUUGAUUUCUCGCUAUCUGGUGGCCUUCAUCUGUAGUUUAACUUUCCUCCGCUUCAGCAAAAACAGAGGGCACGCACGCAUACAGCGAGGGACACACGCACACACAUAAAAUCUUCUUUUCAACCGAAAUAAAUGUUUAUAGCAUUCCAAACAUUUUGUGUGUGAGACAGUAUGUGUGGUCCUGUCUGCACCUAGCAUGAGGUUUGAGGUUAAGGUGCUUGUCUGCUGGCGGGUGUGCGUGUCAGGGAUGUCUUUGUGUGAGGGCAUGCAUGUGUGUUUGUGUGUGGUGGGGGUGGGGGGAAGUUAAUGAUGAACUGAGGAACACCCAUGUAAGCAUUUAAAACUUCCGUGCUUUGAAAUCAAAAAGGGACAAGAGGAUAGAACAACAUGGAAUUAAAAAAAUGUUAUGGUAUUUAGCUGUUUUAGGAAAAUGAGACCAUUUCUGAGGUAAGGUAAGUAACGGGCUUAGGAUAAUGGUGCCAUGUGUAAUAACUGGAAUCAAAUACAGAACUUUUUAAAACAAGUAUUAUUGAAAGCAGAAUCUGUAAUAUAAGAUUAUCCAACAAACAGGAGUAUUACAAAGUACACAUAUAGUGACACUGAGUUUAAGGGGAAGCUGAAGUUACUACCUAAGGCCUCAAGCAGGUCUCAGAUUUGAAUGCCUGCAUGGGCUCACUUGUUUUGAUGGAUUGUCUGUUUCCACAUAACACUGCAAUUUGGACCAUACUUUUUAAUUUUCUGUCCUCCAACCACUGCAGUCUAGUCUAUUGUUUUGAAUCACAAUAGUGCACUGGAAAGAAGCUAAAUCUGCACAAAUGAAGGAACAACACCAUACUGUGAUGGUUAUCACUGUCUUUCAUUGAGGACAUACUGAUUUUGAAUCCCUGCAGGGGGUCCACUCAAGCCUUUGAAUGUUAAGUUUCCCUUCCACCCCAAUGCAGACCACACAUCUGAACCACCAAAAAAGACUAGAAAGUAUUAAACCUGAAUAUAAAAACCCUGCAAAGUGAUGCAUUUCUAACAAGCAGUCAGGAUUGGUUUAGUAAGUUUAAUACUGAUAGCUCUGAACUUGCUUGCAUGUAGUUGGAUGGGCAUGCCUGGUACCCAAGGUGCCAAAACAGCAUGAUUAUGAUCAGUAAUUGAAAGUGGAAAUGUAAAAAAAAAAAGUCAGUUCAUACUGCACUGAGCAGAAGUGAACUGAUAUAGACACAUCUUGGGUGUGUUAUUUGGCAUUGCUUCCUUGCAGUGAGUAGAUACUGGGUUUCAGCCCUAACAGGGGCCUCCCUAUGAGGAGCUACCAUUUUUCAGCCUCCUUACACUGGACUAUGAUUUGAAAACUAUAAGAAUGAACCUGACUUGCAUGCCACCUUUAGAUAAUUCAUCUUCAUAUCUUUUUGGAUGGUUUGAAAAACUACCCAGAGGUAAACGAUCACUACUUUGGUACCCAGAACACCUUCAAAUAUCCCCAUAAGUCUAUAUAACUUUGUGUCAGAGCUCAUUACCAUUAUGCUUAUUUGUUAAAGUGCUGAGAUGCACAUUAAACUGAGGUAGAGCACAUUGUAAACAUUGUCCUGACUCCAAAUCAACAUAUUAUUACUGCUAAACUCAAAUUCAUCCGACACUUACAGAGCUGAACCUACCUCAUAUGGUCCUGCUGCUUUUAAUGUUACUCACACUCAGUGACCAACUGGAUUAAAGGGAUGCCUACCUCUUAUCUUCAUACAAGCCUAAUGUGCAAACCGCAGGCAUUAGAUCCAUACCAUCUCUUGAUACAAAAUAGAAACGAUAACUAAAGGAUCACCAACCUCACGUUUUAACAGGGAAAGUUAAACUCUUGUAUGCCUAUCAAGAUUGUUUUGUCAUAUUUGGUUAAAAAAGAUGAAUGCGCAAUCAAGCAGAUGUCUCAUCACACUUCCUGUAGUUAUUGUCUGCAAAAUUGAAUCUUCUGACUGUGAUGUGAUCAAAAGUUACUCUUCUCUCUGUUAUUAUCCCUGUCCCAUACCCAACAUCACAGAAAACACAAGGACAUAAAAUAUGACUCCCGAUAUUGCCCAUAAGAGACACUAUAAACAACCACAGACCUUCAGUGAAUGGAAAUUCAAAUUCACUGUUGUGGUUUUGUGAUUUACAGCAGCCUCCUGGCCUUGACCGCCAAUAUAGUUGGUAUGUUUGUGUCUCAUCAUGAUAUUGAGCUUUUUUGAACACAUCAACCAUGUGGUCUCGCCCUCACAUGCACAAACACACUCCUUUGUGGUGUAUUCCUGAUGUAAGACAUUCAUGAAGUUUCUCAUGGGCUUUUAUAUGAUAGUGUUUUACUUUGAUAUACUUAAAGCUCCUGUAAGGAACUUUGGAUUUGUGGUGAUUUUGGUGCUCACUCUGGACAAAACUGUUUGUAGAUUUGGUCCUGUACAUAUUGUUUUAUCUCCAAAUAAUUUUGAACCUUCACCCCCCCGAAAAAUAGCUACUUUAUAUCUGUAGUGUGCUGUUAAUCACUACAGCUGGCAGCCCACUAAAAAUGUUCAUCUUUAUUUUGUAGGUCAUAUAGAGGGAUUGCUUUUAAUUGCAGUCAGUUUUAUGACCACCCAAGAACUCCUCACAGGAACUUUAAGAAGUUAGAUGAAGGCCACUCAUAAGCAUGACUAAGCAUAUGAUAGAGACAGUGGUCCAUCUUUGAUGCUUUAUUUGAUAAACUAUAGAUAUCAGUUACCAGUUAGAUGUUGUCUGUUUUAUAUUUCAAAGACAUUGAACUUGGAUGUAUUAUAUCCUUUUUAAUCCCACUUGUGAAUGUUAAGAAAUAUCUAUAUCAUUUGCCUGCUAGAGCCAGUGGAUGAGCACCAUCUGCUGGUCUGGUGGAUGUAUUGCAGCUAAGUGUAUGAUUUAAAAACUCAUAUGACUUGAAGUCUUGUCUCUUUGUAAUAUUAGAAAUUACUUAAUCAGUGAAAAAUAUGCGAAAUGUGCAUCCUAUAAAAUUGCGCCUAAAUGAAACAUUGCUAAUUAGUUAAUGUAAUUGUACGAUGAUAUGGUUCCUUGUGAGUCUCCGUAGAUAUGAGACUUUUUUGGUCAAUUCUUUUGAAAUUAAGGUAAACACAGAUCCAUGAGCCUUAUAUGCAUUUUCAGCAAAACUGCAAAAUUCCACCUGAGUAUUUUUAGUCAACAUUAUACACAUUAACACAAUAAUAUCAUAGGUUCAUGUCUCCAAAAUGGACUGACCGAAAAUGCCCCGGCUCAGACUUAAAUGAAAAAAGGUCCCUCUAAAUGUUCCAUUUACUCCUUGCAUGAAUGCUAAAGCAGGUCCACAGUAGAGAAACUUGCUGCUUAAUUAUCAAAAGUGUGCUCUGCGUGCUCCGAGGGGGAGAUUCUGUGGACAUGAUGGGACUGACCUUGUUGCUUUCAGCCCAUUCAAACUGCUGCCGUGCUUCACUGGUGGAUGUCACAGUGUCACCCACGGGGACGAGGGAGAGGGAGCAGAGAGAGAGCCCGAGAGAUUGUCUGUGCACAUUCCUACACUGGUUGCUACUUACAAGGUCUGCAUUAACACACAUACAAUACACCCCCCUUAUGAAGCACACACACACACACACACACAUACAGCAAGUCACAGCAUCUUCACGUAGAUCCCUGGCAAAGCCAAAGCGAUGCAACUGCUCCUCCAUUGUAAGACCCCCUUAACUCCCUCCCUUCUUCUUGCACUCUUUCUCCUUACCCUCCACCCACCUACCAGUCUCUACCCCAAACCCUGCUAGCUGGCCCCGCUCUUUUCUCCUAGUCACCAUGGAGACCGCUAACAAAGCCAUCACUUUUACCAAUUUCCUCAGAGACAGGUGCUGGCACAAUGACUGCUUCCUCGCAGGCUGAAAGGGGAAGGGGCAAGAGGGGUCCAUGGGAACUCCAGGCGGACACUCUGAGGGCUGUCCAAGUGUCCUCCUCCCUGGGCCCUACCGAGAAAAGAAGGCUAAUUUGUUGUCCCUGUUUUCCCAGGGAGGGGGGAUGCAGGAGGAAGGAGGAGGGGGGAGAAAGAGAGAGGGAGGCUGGAGGCUCGAAGAAGGGCGAGUGAGGCACGAAGAAUGACGCAGAGAGAGAGAGACAGAGACACACACACACAGACAGAGAGAGAGAGACAGAGAGGGUGUAGGCAAAGGGGUGUUGACGAGUUUUCAAAACAGACCGCCUAAUAUCAGUCUCCUCUCGCUUCCUCCUGCCAAUGGGUGGCUGGAUCCUCCUUUUCUCUCCUUGUUCUCCCAUCUUCUCUUGCUUCCCCCUUUCUCCUGCUACAACUCUUUGGGCCUCGAAACAAUGGCGUGUCAUGGCAUCAUGACUGCAAGAUGUUUCAAUUUAGCUUUCAGCCAGCAUUCACUUCCCUUUUUUGUAUGUGCUCUUUGUGUGUGUGCCAGUUCAAAUGUGCUCAUAUCUAUAAAAAACAAAUUCCUACAAGGGUGUUAGUAGGUUUCUGGGAGAUUUAAUGUACCUUUAUUAUUUAUUUAUAUAUUUAUUGGAUGUAGUGUCUGUUACUGUAAAAUAAACACUAUAACAUCACUAAUGUUUAAGAUGCUGCAAAAGAAACACCCCUGUCUACAUAAAGAAAAAGAUAAAAAUGAGACUAAAAUGUGUUGUUAUGCAAAAAAAAAAAAUAUAUAUAUAUUUUUUUUUAUUAUUUUAUUUGAUUAAAUUUUUUAUAUUUUUAAUUACUGUUUACUGGUUUCUGUUACAGCUGCACUGUCACCCUGAAAAAGAGUCUGUCUGUUGGCACAGCUACAAAGUAUUUAUUGCCCCUCUAUGAAGAGAGGCCAUGGGGAGUGUGAGGGAGGGGUGUGUGUGUGUGUGUGUGUGUGUGUGUGUGUGUGUGUGUGUGUGUGUGUGUGUGUGUGUGUGUGUGUGCUUGCUCAUGAAAUUGUGUGUGUUUGUGCAUGUUGUUUGAAAAGGCCUUACAACUUUUUGUUGGAGGUACAAAACUUAUUGGGAUGGCAUGUAUAAACACUUACCUUCUGGGAGAGACAUGUUAUUCAGCUGCAGAAGACCCUAGUGUCUGUUUAUAGUAGAUCUGCAAUAACAUACAGAUGGACUGGUCCAGGUUUACAUUGACUUAAUAUAGUGAAGUUAUUAUUUUGAUUGAUAUGUUUAGAUAUAUAUGUAUAAAUAAUACAUGAUUUGAUUAUAGAUUUCUUAUAAGGUUGUUGAGAAAAUAAGAUGGCUUAAAAACUUUGUGAACAAUAACAGCUACAAUGUUUGCAAUGGAUUAAAAAUUUCGAAUGUAACAAGUUUCAGUUAAAACACGACAAUAUGACUAAAAGACAGAGGACACUUGUCUGUCUUACCUACAAUAUAUUGGCAGAGUGACUUUAAAUUUGACAUGUGUUUCAAGAUGGGGUCUGACCUCUGUUUUAUAACAGCUGUUACUUCUCUAGUAGGGCUUUCCACAGGAUUAAGGAGUGUGUCUGUAGAAAAUGAUGUCCUAUUCAGCCAAGUUCCUCAGCAAGACCCUGGAAAGAGUAGUCGCCGUGCAGCUCCAGCAGCACAUGUCCGACCACAAACUCUCCGAACCCUUCCAGUCUGCCUACAGAGCGCACCACAGCACUGAGACCGCCUUGGUUAAAAUCAUCAAUGACCUCCUCAUCGCGGCUGACUCCGGCAACAUCAGCAUCCUCAUCCUGUUGUACCUCUCUGCAGCCUUUGACACAGUCUCUCACUCCAUCCUCCUCAACCGCCUCUCUACACACCUCAAUAUCACUGGAUCUGCGCUCUCCUGGUUUCACUCCUAUCUGUCCAACCGCCUGCAGUUUGUCUCCAUGCAUGGUUCCAAGUCCCACCCAGCCCCAGUUCCACACGGAGUCCCACAGGGUUCCGUACUUGGUCCACUCCUCUUCACCAUAUACAUGCUCCCGCUCGGCCAGAUCAUCCGUAAGCACGGCCUUGAUUUCCACUGUUACGCCGAUGACACACAGAUAUAUCUCAGCACCACACCCACUACUCUGCUCCCUCCACUCCCCAUUGUCAACUGCCUACAAGAAAUAAAAACCUGGCUGACCACCAACCUACUCCAACUCAACGCCAAGAAAACAGAGCUCUUGCUCAUGGCUCCCAAGGCACUGCUUCGCAGAAUGGGUGAUUUCCUCCUCCAUAUUGACGGCUACUCCAUCUCCCCAUCCUCCGAGGUGCGCAACCUGGGCGUCAUCUUGGACUCUGCCCUCUCAUUCCAAACCCACAUUAAAUCCGUAACUAAGUCAGCCUUUUUCCACCUUAAGACCAUCUCCAGACUCCGCUCAUCCCUCUCAGACCCUGUUGCAGAAACCCUCAUCCAUGCCUUUGUAUCCUCCCGCUUAGACUACUGCAACGGUGUCCUGUUCGGACUUCCUAAAAAAGACUUGGACCGUCUGCAGUACGUUCAAAAUUCAGCUGCCAGAGUGCUCACCCAGACCAAACCUUGGCAGCACAUCACCCCCACCCUCAAACGCCUCCACUGGCUUCCCAUCAAAUAUCGCAUCAUCUACAAACUCCUCCUGCUCACCUACAAAGCUCUCCAUGCCCUAGCCCCAUACUAUCUCUCUGACCUCCUCAAGGACUACAUCCCGGCGCGUACUCUGCGGUCUGCAGACCUUGGGCUCCUCACUGUCCGCUAUGGGAAAAGGCGAUCCCUUGGUGACAGAGCCUUCAGUGUGGCUGCCCCUCCUCUCUGGAACUCUCUCCCCUCUGAGAUUCGCCAAGCACAGACUCUUGACUCUUUCAAGUCUGCUCUGAAGCGACACUUGUUUAUCCAGGCUUUUGGUAUUUAGUUUUUGUAAUGUGUUGUUAAGCGCCUUGGGUAUCCUGAAAGGCGCUAUAUAAAUGUAAGAUAUUAUUAUUAUUAUUAAGGGAUCAGUUCUGAGGUCAGGCACCUACUUCAGAUGAGCCAGACUGGCCCACAAUCAGUGUUUUAUACUUAUAAAGACGUUAAGUGGGGUUCAGGGCUUUUUAGACAGUUGCUCUUCCAUACAAAUCUCAUCUAACUAGGUUUCGUGGUGGUGGGUUUGACUCAGCUUUUUUAACGAAACAUGACCAUUGAAACCAAAGAACCAAACUGUUUGGAUCCAAACAAUUUAUUUUUUGGAGCAUCUCCAAGACAAGUAAUCAAAAGUUUUCCAGUGUUCAGAAAGCCAGCACCAGUGCAGACUCAUUCCAUGAUUGAACAAGCAUUUGUAGCUCUUUUGGAGCAUUUUGAGGUUCAGUGUUUUUCCAAGAAUAUCAGACAUGUUGAGUGCACAAGCCACAAACUGCCAUCUUUUUGACUGGGAGAUGACCAUUGAUCUGCAGCCACCAAUGGUCAGCUUGCUGACAACAGUCUCUUAAGCUAAUUGUGUUAAAGCAACUUGUUCUCUGGUGUUAAGCGUGCUUCCCUUGAACUAAUAAACUAAAAACAACAACAGCUAAUGACCAUAGUUUAAAAAAAAAGAUUGUAGGACCAAGAGCUGUAGCCACUAUCCUAGAAAAAUAAAUAGUUUAACCAACAUUACGGGUAUUCCAAAACCUGCAAUGCACAUUUGCAUUCCAUUAGGAUUUUUUUUCUUUCCUGAUUCUCUUGAGUAUAAAUAAACCAAUCAGUGUAAAACUAGAAGCUUUUAUAUGUCCCAUUACCUGCAUUGGGACUCUUACUAAAUGAAAUUUUCAAUACAAUCAGUUACAGUGUCUCACCUUGAAUCUAUCCCUAGAGGGCGCCAAAGUUUCAAGUACACACACUGUGACAUUAGAAAGUCCUCCAUUCCUGUAGUCAUUAAGGUACAAAGAGUGCCUUGAAAAAGUAUUCAUACCCCUUGAACUUUUUCACAUUUUGUCGCUCUACAACCACAAACUUAAAAGCAUUUUUUUGAGAUUUUUUGUCAUAGACCAAGACAAAGUAGCACAUAAUUGUGAAGUGGAACGAAAAUGAUACAUGGUUUUCAAAAAAUGUUAAACAAGUAAAAGUCUGAAAAGUGUGGUGUGCAUUUGUAUUCAGUUGUAUUUAUGCUGAUACUAAAUUACACACAGGUGGACUCUAUUAACUAAUUAGGUGACUUCUGAAGGCAGCUGAUUACACUGCAUUUUAUUUUUAGGGGUAUCAGAGUACAGGGGACUGAAUACAAAUGCACACCACACUUUUCAGAUUUUUAUUUGUUUAUUAUUUUUUUAAACCAUAUAUCAUUUUCAUUCCACUUCAUAAUUAUGUGUUACUUUGUGUUGGUCUAUGACAAAAAAUUUCAAUAAAAUACUUUUAAGUUUGUGGUUGUAGAGUGGCAAAAUGUGAAAAAGUUAAAGGGGUAUGAGUACUUUUUCAAGGCACUGUAUAUUUAGAGGAAUUUUGCAUUAAGGAACAAACCCUUGAUCAGAAAUUUUCUGCUUUAGAUAAGAUUUAAGUCUCUUCCUCUACGUCACACCAGUGCCCUUUCAUAAAAUGAGUUAUAAAUAAAUAUAUAGCGUCAUAAUGAUAAACUUCCACUAUGCCAUUCCAACUUCCUACAGCUACUUUAGCAGAGGGUCGUGAAGUGUACUACUUGGUUGCCAUUACACAUCAGCUGACCUGCAGGAAGUUCCCCAGCUGUUAGGGAGAUCCUUGUGUAUCACGCUGAGAUCUAUCUUUAGUAUCUUCUGCUUCCCCUCCUGUGACGUAGGAGGGGAGAAACUUCUCACUCAGGGGUGACUCAGGGCCAAACAGUGAGUUAAUGAGUGAAACAUGAGCCACAAGUUUUAGUAGGGUGUAGCAAAAGUUGGUCAUUUUCCAUGGCUUUUUGUAACAGUAGUGCACUGAAGUGAAAUUAAUGGAGAUUGACAGUUAAAAAACACACAACUGCUAAAUAAAGAGGAUGUAAGAGGUACAAAGUUAAUGCUAAAUAUGAAGAAAAAGAUGGAAUGAUUCAAAUGAACUAAAUCUAUCAGGACAAAAAUAGAUUCUUAACACUGAGAUGAUGUUUUGGGUUACCUGGAGUCCUAAAGCAGGCAGAGUGUUGUGGUCAGACACUAAAAAUAUCAUGGGUAUGUUACUUCCACUUUUUCCAUUGCCUGGUUUACAUCCUGUUGCUGGGAGGCCAGUUUGUUUACAGAGUUGUGUCAUAUUAUAAUAUGCCUGUGGUGCAAAUGAUCAUGUGUCGUAGCCGGUUGAGCUGUCUCUUACCAGAAGGCGUUGAUCUGUGGGCGUGUGAGGGAUGAAGGAGGCGUCACAAGGAAUUAUUGACCCCAUGGAAAAUUGUCAUAUUGUGUCCCAUCACUGCAGCACAACUACUAUAAUCAAACAUUCAUCAUACUCAUGACCCAUUACAAGUUUCAAAGAACUUUACUUUAACUUCAUGCAACACACCAGCAAAAUUAAAAGCAUAAUACUUCUCAGUAACAUCCAGAGCAUCAUAUUGUUUCACAAAAAAGUGUAUGCUAAACUUGUCACAAACUCACAAAAGUCUUUCAGGAUAUGUGAACACUGAAUGUACUGUGUGUUAGAAUACUUUUAAAAAUAAAAAUUACAGAAAAAUAAAACAACGAGAAAAUCACUUAGGUUACUUUAUGAAAAAAAAUCAUCCAAAAAGUUAUUGCCUGAGCAGUAAUUUGGAGACAUCUCCUUCUCUGAAAGCUUUGUGAUUCCAUCCUUUUCCUCAACACUAGAAUAUUCUGUUGCUUGGCCAACAGCAACAUCUGGUCUUCACAAACAAAUAUAGCCUAUAAAUGCAUCCUUGUACAACAAAAGCCUUUAAAUUAAAAAAAAAAUGCAGUUUCCCUCAUGGACACAAAAUCUUGAUAUUGUCCACCAGAUGUCAGCAGAACCCAAACAAUGAAAAAACUUCCAGCACACAGUGAACAUAGUUAACCCCAAUGUGUUACCCAAGACUCACCAACAGAGUGAAUCAUUUAUGUCAACUUGUCUCUUCUUGAGUUUAACAUUCAGGGUUGUUAUGUAACAAAUUGUAGGUGUUUGAAUGGGAAGUCACCUCUAUCAUUAAAAGUUUUAUGUGGUUUAAAAAUACAUUUCACAUUGAAAGGCUCAAUAUGCUCCCUUGUUAAGCCUGUGUUGUACUUAAUUUUUGGUGUCUGCACCCUGACAAAGUUUCUACAGGGAAUCAGUAUUAAAAUGGACUCGGUGUGAAAGGAUUUUUAUGAAAAUUUAGUCAUCUUAUUGGGACAAUACAUGGUGAAAAACAGACAAAGUUUCCUAAUAUUAAUCCAUUGACAACUUUAAUGAUGGAAGAGGCGGUAUCAUUAAAAUCAGAGCCAUGACUUUGUGUCUGUCCAUGACUUAAUUGUGCUCUUGUGAAGUCUGAUGUAAAUCAAAAGCUUUAAAAUGCCGCAGAGGAAGACCCAGAGGAAACUAACACUCACAGUGCGUCUGCUUUGUCUACAAAGGAAACGCUCCGGGCUUCCUCUCUCCAUCAUUAGCAUGGUGUCUCCCCCUGGUCUCAGAAUAAAUACUUUUAAUCCUUUAGAGGGAAGUACUGUGCAAGUUUCUUCUCUCGCUGCGUGAGUGUCUUCUGUGAGUGCAGCUGUGCAGUUUGACAGCAGCCAUCCCUCUGCAGCCUCCUUGUCCCUUUUCUUCCUCUAUUAAACGGCACAAUUAGCUAGUUUAUAUGCUUCCACAAUACAGACAGUGAAGCAACUGUGAAGGGAAUCCAUAUAAGUUUACUACAAUGUUGCAUUUGUUUUUAACAAUACUUAAGAGUGCAACUCUGUGGACUGGCUGACAACCUCUUCUCCUCUGCAGCUCUCAUAUUUGUUGUCCUCAUUCCAGAGUCAAACAGAUGUGACCAGCUGAACCCAUCUACUGUAAGGUGCUGCUGGUUAACUGGCACGUGACUAGUUUCUGUCUCAUUAUUUUCUUUUUUAUCUCCAUGUCUUUAAUGAGAGUAUAAUGGUUGUUUGUGCUGCAACUGGCCUACAUACACAGCCUGCAUUUUAAAUGCAUUCAUUCAUCACUCUCGGGAAACUGAAUCUAACCAUGUAUCUGCAGGGAGUUAAUAUAUUUUUUAUUUUUUAUUCAGCUGUGUUAAACACUCAAUUCUGAUGAGUGAAAACUCCAGCAACAAUAAUUAAUUAUUGACAGCAAAAGAUAUGUCAGGACAACCUGAUCACUUUGCAUGACCACCCAUUACACCAUCCCAUUACUUGUUCUCCCCCCUGUCUUAAAGGUUUCUAUGUGCUGUUAGUACAGCGGGCCUGCUUGUGGACCUGCAUGUUUACAAUGAUUAGAAGUCUCACUUGUUAAUAAAAUCAUACUCUUAAUGCUAGAGCUGAUUGACUCAAACUUGAAUAGUUUUCAUUAUUAGUCUUCAACAAGCUAUCUAUAUCAUAGCUGACAAUACUAAGGCCGAACUUUAAGUGGCAGAGUCAAUAUUAUCAGACAUUGUUAGGUAACUUCUUUCUAUUUAUCUGCUUUUUCUGCAUUUCUCCCUGUCCUUCUUUCUCUGUCCAUCCACAAGCAGUUGAAUAAUGUAUUCGAUCUUUUGUAAAUGACUGCGAUUAUAAGAUAUAUAAGGUCUACAUCUUCACUCUUGAGGUCUUUCAUGAAUUGCAUUGAAAUGAAAACCUCAUAGAAUUGUGUCAAGCAGGUUGAGAGUAUAAUACAGCAAACACUAAGUGGAGAUUUUAUCAAUAUAUUGUUCAUGGUUGUGAAAAAAAAGCCAGAGUCUGCUCUAAUGUUUUCAUAAGGACAUAAGAUCCCCCUCUGUCAGCUGCAUGUUCUCUCCUUAUUCAGCUUUAGAGUUACACUUGGGUGAACAUUAGGGCUAAAAGCAGAGCAGUUUACUUUUUUCCCACUGUGCCAUUACUGUGAUAACUUCUCUCUCUCUUAUUGCUCUGACCCUGCUGAGUGAUUCAUAGACGCAGACAGUACAAAGCCAAAAUAGCAGCAAUCAGUGAGAAGGUUAUCUUGCUAUUG
rnacentral:lncRNA from 1 species